AAAUUGAAGAGUUUGAUCAUGGCUCAGAUUGAACGCUGGCGGCAGGCCUAACACAUGCAAGUCGAGCGGUAGCACAGAGAGCUUGCUCUCGGGUGACGAGCGGCGGACGGGUGAGUAAUGUCUGGGAAACUGCCUGAUGGAGGGGGAUAACUACUGGAAACGGUAGCUAAUACCGCAUAACGUCGCAAGACCAAAGUGGGGGACCUUCGGGCCUCAUGCCAUCAGAUGUGCCCAGAUGGGAUUAGCUAGUAGGUGGGGUAACGGCUCACCUAGGCGACGAUCCCUAGCUGGUCUGAGAGGAUGACCAGCCACACUGGAACUGAGACACGGUCCAGACUCCUACGGGAGGCAGCAGUGGGGAAUAUUGCACAAUGGGCGCAAGCCUGAUGCAGCCAUGCCGCGUGUGUGAAGAAGGCCUUCGGGUUGUAAAGCACUUUCAGCGGGGAGGAAGGCGAUAAGGUUAAUAACCUUGUCGAUUGACGUUACCCGCAGAAGAAGCACCGGCUAACUCCGUGCCAGCAGCCGCGGUAAUACGGAGGGUGCAAGCGUUAAUCGGAAUUACUGGGCGUAAAGCGCACGCAGGCGGUCUGUCAAGUCGGAUGUGAAAUCCCCGGGCUCAACCUGGGAACUGCAUUCGAAACUGGCAGGCUAGAGUCUUGUAGAGGGGGGUAGAAUUCCAGGUGUAGCGGUGAAAUGCGUAGAGAUCUGGAGGAAUACCGGUGGCGAAGGCGGCCCCCUGGACAAAGACUGACGCUCAGGUGCGAAAGCGUGGGGAGCAAACAGGAUUAGAUACCCCGGUAGUCCACGCCGUAAACGAUGUCGAUUUGGAGGUUGUGCCCUUGAGGCGUGGCUUCCGGAGCUAACGCGUUAAAUCGACCGCCCGGGGAGUACGGCCGCAAGGUUAAAACUCAAAUGAAUUGACGGGGCCCGCACAAGCGGUGGAGCAUGUGGUUUAAUUCGAUGCAACGCGAAGAACCUUACCUGGUCUUGACAUCCACAGAACUUUCCAGAGAUGGAUUGGUGCCUUCGGGAACUGUGAGACAGGUGCUGCAUGGCUGUCGUCAGCUCGUGUUGUGAAAUGUUGGGUUAAGUCCCGCAACGAGCGCAACCCUUAUCCUUUGUUGCCAGCGGUCCGGCCGGGAACUCAAAGGAGACUGCCAGUGAUAAACUGGAGGAAGGUGGGGAUGACGUCAAGUCAUCAUGGCCCUUACGACCAGGGCUACACACGUGCUACAAUGGCAUAUACAAAGAGAAGCGACCUCGCGAGAGCAAGCGGACCUCAUAAAGUAUGUCGUAGUCCGGAUUGAGUCUGCAACUCGACUCCAUGAAGUCGGAAUCGCUAGUAAUCGUAGAUCAGAAUGCUACGGUGAAUACGUUCCCGGCCUUGUACACACCGCCCGUCACACCAUGGGAGUGGGUUGCAAAAGAAGUAGGUAGCUUAACCUUCGGGAGGGCGCUUACCACUUUGUGAUUCAUGACUGGGGUGAAGUCGUAACAAGGUAACCGUAGGGGAACCUGCGGUUGGAUCACCUCCUUACCUUAAAGAA
rnacentral:rRNA from 1 species